rnacentral:rRNA from 1 species
UUCCGGUUGAUCCUGCCGGACCCUACUGCUAUCGGGGUGGGACUAAGACAUGCGAGUUGAGCGUCUCUAAGCCAUGGUAGAGACGCGGCGUACGGCUCAGUAACACGUGGCUAACCUACCCUUAGGACGGGGACAACCCCGGGAAACUGGGGCUAGUACCCGAUAGGCGAGGAGGCCUGGAAUGGUUCUUAGUCGAAAAGGCGUUGAAACCAUGCUUUUCGACGUUGCCUAAGGAUGGGGCCGCGCCCGAUCAGGUUGUUGGUGGGGUAACGGCUCACCAAGCCUAUAACCGGUACGGGCCGUGAGAGCGGGAGCCCGGAGAUGGGCACUGAGACAAGGGCCCAGGCCCUACGGGGCGCAGCAGUCGCGAAAACUCCGCAAUGCGCGAAAGCGUGGCGGGGCUACCCCGAGUGCCGUCCGCUGAGGAUGGCUUUUCCCCGGUGUAAUGAGCCGGGGGAAUAAGGAGAGGGCAAGUCUGGUGUCAGCCGCCGCGGUAAUACCAGCUCUCCGAGUGGUAGGGAUGAUUAUUGGGCUUAAAGCGUCCGUAGCCGGCUUAGCAAGUCUCCUGUUAAAUUCAGCGACCUAAUCGUUGAGCCGCGGGAGAUACUACUAGGCUAGGAGGCGGGAGAGGCCGACGGUAUUCUCGGGGUAGGGGUGAAAUCCUAUAAUCCCGGGAGGACCACCAGUGGCGAAGGCUGUCGGCUAGAACGCGCUCGACGGUGAGGGACGAAAGCUGGGGGAGCGAACCGGAUUAGAUACCCGGGUAGUCCCAGCUGUAAACGAUGCGGGCUAGGUGUUGGGGUGGCUACGAGCCACUUCAGCGCCGCAGGGAAGCCAUUAAGCCCGCCGCCUGGGGAGUACGGCCGCAAGGCUGAAACUUAAAGGAAUUGGCGGGGGAGCACCACAAGGCGUGAAGCUUGCGGUUCAAUUGGAGU